AAGUCGUAACAAGGUUUCCGUAGGUGAACCUGCGGAAGGAUCAUUAUUGAUUUUGAAUCAAAGUUGUUGCUGGCAUCUCGGUGCAUGUGCACACUUUGACCUUCAUCCAAACACCACUUGUGCACUACUGUAGGCCGAACAGCGAGCAAUCGCCAAGUAGGACUAUGUAUUUUUACAAACGAAUGUCUAUGAAUGUCUUUAUAUUGGGCAGCGAUGCUCUAAUAAAAUAUACAACUUUCAACAACGGAUCUCUUGGCUCUC
rnacentral:misc_RNA from 1 species